rnacentral:rRNA from 1 species
AGAGUUUGAUCCUGGCUCAGAUUGAACGCUGGCGGCAUGCUUUACACAUGCAAGUCGAACGGUAACAGGUCUUCGGAUGCUGACGAGUGGCGAACGGGUGAGUAAUACAUCGGAACGUGCCUAGUAGUGGGGGAUAACUACUCGAAAGAGUAGCUAAUACCGCAUGAGAUCUACGGAUGAAAGCAGGGGACCUUCGGGCCUUGUGCUACUAGAGCGGCUGAUGGCAGAUUAGGUAGUUGGUGGGGUAAAGGCUUACCAAGCCUGCGAUCUGUAGCUGGUCUGAGAGGACGACCAGCCGCACUGGGACUGAGACACGGCCCAGACUCCUACGGGAGGCAGCAGUGGGGAAUUUUGGACAAUGGGCGAAAGCCUGAUCCAGCAAUGCCGCGUGCAGGAUGAAGGCCCUCGGGCUGUAAACUGCUUUUGUACGGAACGAAAAGCCUGGGGCUAAUAUCCCCGGGUCAUGACGGUACCGUAAGAAUAAGCACCGGCUAACUACGUGCCAGCAGCCGCGGUAAUACGUAGGGUGCAAGCGUUAAUCGGAAUUACUGGGCGUAAAGCGUGCGCAGGCGGUUUUGUAAGACAGUGGUGAAAUCCCCGGGCUCAACCUGGGAACUGCCAUUGUGACUGCAAGGCUAGGGUGCGGCAGAGGGGGAUGGAAUUCCGCGUGUAGCAGUGAAAUGCGUAGAUAUGCGGAGGAACACCGAUGGCGAAGGCAAUCCCCUGGGCCUGCACUGACGCUCAUGCACGAAAGCGUGGGGAGCAGACAGGAUUAGAUACCCUGGUAGUCCACGCCCUAAACGAUGUCAACUGGUUGUUGGGUCUUAACUGACUCAGUAACGAAGCUAACGCGUGAAGUUGACCGCCUGGGGAGUACGGCCGCAAGGUUGAAACUCAAA